rnacentral:rRNA from 1 species
CAGCCUUUGACAUGUCCGGAAUGGAUCCUGGAGACAGGUUCCUUCAGUUCGGCUGGCCGGAACACAGGUGCUGCAUGGCUGUCGUCAGCUCGUGUCGUGAGAUGUUGGGUUAAGUCCCGCAACGAGCGCAACCCUCGCCCUUAGUUGCCAUCAUUCAGUUGGGCACUCUAAGGGGACUGCCGGUGAUAAGCCGAGAGGAAGGUGGGGAUGACGUCAAGUCCUCAUGGCCCUUACGGGCUGGGCUACACACGUGCUACAAUGGCGGUGACAAUGGGCAGCGAACCCGCGAGGGGGAACUAAUCCCAAAAAGCCGUCUCAUUUCGGAUUGCACUCUGCAACUCGAGUGCAUGAAGGUGGAAUCUCUAGUAAUCGUGGAUCAGAACGCCACGGUGAAUACGUUCCCGGGCCUUGUACACACCGCCCGUCACACCAUGGGAGUUGGUCUUACCCGACGGCGCUGCGCCAACCGCAAGGAGGCAGGCGACCACGGUAGGGUCAGCAACUGGGGUG